CUCGACGCUGCCCCGCCGCGCAGAUAAUUAGGAGAAGAAGAAGUGUUGAGGAUUGUGAAGAAUCAUCAUGUCUCACCAAGAAUUGGUUCAUUACAUUUGUGAAGAGAACAAACGAAGAAAAAGAAAAAGGAUAAUGCUCACAAAGUUGUAUUUUGAGGUGUCUAUGGUUGCAUUAGCAUAUGCUAGUACUCAAAGGUCACCGAGGGACCUAGGUGCCUUCGAUGACUUUGAGAAGAAGGUGGCAUAUAGAAAGUAUGUAUUGGCAAGAACAUACAAUGGGACGGAGACAAGAUGCUAUGAUGAGUUGCGUUUAACAAAAAGAAAUUUCCAUAAUCUUUGCGCUAUGCUGCGUGAGAAGGGUGGUCUCAAAGAUACAACCUAUGUCACGGUAGAAGAAAAUGUUGCUAUGUUCUUACAAGUAGUUGGGCAUGGAACUAAAAUGCGGAUGAUUGGCUAUGAGCGGUCUUUAGAGACAACCAGUAGGCACUUCGGUAAUGUGUUAACUGCCAUCUUAUCUCUAACUGGGGAGUUCAUCAAGCUUCCUGAGCCUACUGCCACCCCUCCCGAGGAUUACAAAUGGAAAUGGUUUCCCAAUGCACUUGGAGCUCUAGACGGGUGUCAUAU